AACGAACGCUGGCGGCAUGCCUAACACAUGCGAGUCGAACGAGACCUUCGGGUCUAGUGGCGCACGGGUGCGUAACGCGUGGGAACCUGCCCUUAGGUUCGGAAUAACUCCCCGAAAGGGGUGCUAAUACCGGAUAAUGUCUUCGGACCAAAGAUUUAUCGCCUUUGGAUGGGCCCGCGUUGGAUUAGCUAGUUGGUAGGGUAAAAGCCUACCAAGACGACGAUCCAUAGCUGGUCUGAGAGGAUGAUCAGCCACACUGGGACUGAGACACGGCCCAGACUCCUACGGGAGGCAGCAGUGGGGAAUAUUGGACAAUGGGCGAAAGCCUGAUCCAGCAAUGCCGCGUGAGUGAUGAAGGCCUUAGGGUUGUAAAGCUCUUUUACCCGGGAUGAUAAUGACAGUACCGGGAGAAUAAGCUCCGGCUAACUCCGUG
rnacentral:rRNA from 1 species